GCAGUGUUGUGCUGAUCUGCUGUUGCAAAUCAUCCUGAGGUCUCAAUGCUGUAUACAAUGCCAUUCUUCACAUAUUUAAACCACUUCCACUAAAGACUGUUUGAUAAAAAACAUCACUGAAGUAAGUAUAAACAGUUUUGUUUACUUCAUAUGCAGUGUCUGAGAUAGUUACGAAUGGACUUAAAAUUACCCCUCCAAACAGCUGGCAUUUGUAAAAUGCAGUUUCACAAUCUACUUAAGCUAGCCCAAAACAGCGCAACUCUGUUGUGUCUGCACAAGCAAUUACUAGCAAUGAGGCUGCCAACUCUUGAAACACAAACGGGCUGGCAGGAGCACACAGCUAGGACAGAGAAAGAGUGCAGCACUUUUGGCAGUAGCACCAUCCUGCAUCUCUCUGCCGACAGUGACACCAGGCUGGAGUGAUGCUCUGUCUUGCAGUGCUGGAGAACUCCAACUGAAAGAUGCUGCAACACAGAAAAACAACAAACCCACCACAACCAUCGAAAAUGCAAGCUGGAAGGUUCUCAGUUGAACAUUCCCACAAAGUACUGAGUGGCUACGAGAGGCUCUUCAUUUACGGCUGCUCCCAAGCCUUCAAGGACAUCUUGUAAAACUAAUGAACAACACAGUGAAAGCUGAACUUUGAAAAUGGAAGCAGUAAAGCCAUUUCUGUAUACAUAAAUGAUUCUAAUUAUGUAACAGAGUCUCCUGCAAGUUUAUCAGCUAAAGUCACGUCUGAAGGAUUCGGAUGAUGCCAGAUGUAGUUUAUCACCGAUGUGCGUAAUUUAAUAUUGCAAGCCUUCUAAGGUGCUCUCCGUGGCACAAGGAAACAGAAUCGCCACCAUUAUGGCCAUUAUGUAUUCAUUUCAAAACAGAAAACACAGUUGCACUUUUAAGUAUUCUUUGAUCUGCCUAAUUUAUAGCUAAGACUUUGUGGGAAGAAAAGUUAAGAAUCGGGGUUAUGCCUUGGAAGAAGUGGUGAAGAAGAAGAAGCUCUCAGGCUAAUGAAAGCACACAUCCUUUGAACUACGGUUUAUAAACCCAGUAAUUGGCAACAUAUCAAAAAUAUCACUUUUCCUAGAAAGUACAGCCUACCGGAGCAGGGCUGGCACGGCACCGUGCGGGUGACAGAACCCGAAGGCUCGGCAGGCCGCCACCAGCAGCGCGGA
ensembl:lncRNA